UGCUAGGUAUGUGCAUAUGAGUGCACACAUGCAUGUGUGUACUUCCACGUUUCUGUGCAUGCCUGUGUGCACUGUGUGGUGUCCGUAUGUGAUUCCAGCAUGAAUUGUGUGAGUGUGAGUGCGUGGGGCAUGUGUGCAUUCAGCAUGCGUGCACCACUCUGAGUGUUGAGUGUACACAGGCGUGUGUGGUCUCACUGUGUAGAUGAUGUGUAUGCAUGUGUGCACACACGUGUGGACCUCAGGCAGGGUCUGAGAGCCUGGAAGUUCCUCCAGUUUAAAGGUUGUGAAAAAUGUUACGGUUUCCAUGGUGACCCUGGGCCAGCCUGGCGCCUGGACGGGCUCUGCUUGCUUUUCUCUGUGAUGGUUCCUCUUGUCCCCCUCAGCCGUCCUCACCUUUUGGCCCCCACUCCCUUUCUGGGCACCCUGCUCUGUUCUGGGAGCCCCCACUCCCUUCCAGGGGCUGCUCCUUUGAGAGCCUGACCUUCCCAUGAGGCCUGCACUCCCUUCCUUGAGGCCAGCAGAACCAAUGCACCCCCACCCCCGCCACACCUCUCCCUCCCCCUCCCCCUGCUGCCCCUAGUUUUGAAAUCUCCUUUUGCUUCCCCGUGUGGUCGCUGACCGGGCCUGACUUUGAAAUCUGUUGAAAGGAGACCUUUCUCCUUGGGGCCAGUGUAAACAGCCGGUCAUGUUAAAUCAUGUUCUCUUCCUCUCUCAGCCUGCCUCUCGGGUGUGCUUGGGGAGGGCUGAGCCCCUCUCCUCACUCUCCCCUGCCUGGCGGCCCGGCCUCUGGGGCGUGGUGUGCGCCAGCACCAGGUCAGCUGUGCAGUCCCCAGCCUUGGCAAGCAGCCCAGGGAGUGUGCAAGGCCGCCCCAUCCCCAUGGGCCCCGCUGGGGCUCCAGCUGACCCUCCCCUCUUCCAGCCCAGAUCCGUGUGCCCUCCUGCCCUUGCCACACACAGGCGUCCCCAUAUCCUGCCAACCCCCCUCAGAAACGCCUCUCCAAUCUGCCUGCCUGCUGAGCCCAGGCCAGCCUAGCCCUGGCCACUCUUGCCCCUGCCCAAGACUGUCCCCCACCCCACGUCACCAUCAUGUGGCUCCUGGGGGCCUCCGUGUCAACCUUGGGCCUUUGGCCAGGUCCAGGCCCACCCCGAAAUCUCCACUAACCCACUUCUUUUCUUGCCCGCUGCCCUAAAUCCAGCCUCCCCCCACCCUAGUGUCCAGACCAAUGAAGUCCAUGCCUCCCGCUGUGUGGACAGAGCCCAGCUUGUCAAGGGCCUCCCCACGCCUCAGUGGAUGGUGCGAUUGGUCUCCUGGCUAAGGGUCCGAAUUCUCCUUUGCCCCCAGUCAUGCCUGUCUCUCGGAAAGGCUUUGGGAGGUGACAGCUGCCCCAGUGCCUCCAGAAUCAGGCCCUUCCUGACUCCACUUUCUUAACUGUGUGUGGAACAAGGGGGCUGUCCGGACUCCCGGAGCCUUCGGCUGCGUGGCUCUGGCCACCCUUUCACAUGCUGGCCUUCCCAGCAGCAGGUGUGCCCCACCAGUGCCCUGGGAGCUGGCAGGUGGGCUGUGCACCUUCCCAGGACAAGCAGGAGCCGCAUUGGGACCCACGGCAGGUUGCAGAGAGCUGCCCUCACGCUCAGCUGGCACCCUGACUCAGCCAAGUUCACCUGACUCAGCCAAGUUCACCUGACUCAGCCAAGCCCACUUGCACCCCAAAGUCAAACUCACCCCUUCAGGAGGCUUAGAAAUGAUGCCUUCUUUUCCUUGAAAACCAGUGUCAGCUUCCCUUAGCCAAUGGCCUGGGCCAGGCACCGUUUCAUCUGCUCUGAGAGCCCAGGCUUGGCUUACUGCCCGGUAUGAGGGCCCCUAGCCCCACAGCCCCUGUUGCUGUUUGCCUCUUCCUAGUCCCGGAGACGACUCCGCCCUCCUCCGUGGUACAGCCUCUCUUUCCUCCUGGCACCCCCACUCUCCUCUCUCAGUACCUGCCCUGCUUUCUUCUCUCCUCUGACAUCCCCAGAAGCCCCCCAGCCCCACCCCUCACCUCUCUCUCCACAUCGCCCCGCUCGGCCGAUAGGUCCCGGAGGCUGUCGCAUAGGGCCGUGGUCUCCCUCUGAUGGGCCGUGAUGGCAUCCUCAAACUGGGCCUGGAGGGCCUUCAGCUCCUCGGUUGUGGAGCUGAUGGUGGCCUGCGGGGAGAAGGGAGCCCACAGUGGCACCAGGGAGCCGGGCCCAGCAGUGGAGGGUGAGACAGGCUGCUGGGAUGAGGAGACGUCCACGGUCCCUGCCAGCUGUGAUGUUGCCCUCUCCUGCUGUGCAGCACCCUGGGGAUGGGGCACACGCCCUCCAUCCUGGCUCCGAGUCACCGAGCGUCCCCCAAGGCCCUGCUGCCUGGACACCCCGGCCCCCCACCAGGCGGCCUGCGUAUGCCUCUGUGCAGUCAGUGAGAAGUGCCCCCGUUCAGAAUGGGCACAGAAGGGGCCUGCCUCCCGCACCUGGCACCAUGGCCUGUGUUCUGUUCACUGCACACUGAGCCAUACAUUCAACGCCAGUCAGGUGGGUGUCCAACCCUGCCUCCUUGCCAGGGACAGGGGGGAAAAGGUUUGCCCGAAUUUAAAAUGAGCCAAGAAGUAUGGGAAUGAACGGCCUCGUCACUGAACAUGCUGGGAGCUGGGACAGAGGCAGGAGGCAGGUGUGGGCCCAGCUGACGGGGUGUGUGCAGCCAGAGAGGGCAGAGAGCGGGUCAGAGCUGGGGUCGGCAGUCAGCCUCGCCCUCAAUCCUACCUGUUCCUGGAAAGGAGAGGAGCUGCGUCCGGUGCCUUGAGCCCAUUCCCUCCCUGCCCAGGGCACCCUGGCACUUGUGUCUGUUCAGGGCCAGCCCCUGCCACCCAGGACAGCAGCCCCGACCUCAACACAAACAGCCCCUCCUCAGACCCCUGGACCUUGGGAGGCCCUGCUGUGGCUCCUCCAUCUAUGUCCUAUUGCUGGGCUCUGGCCACCCUCCCUGUGAGCCAGGCCCCCAUCCAUGUUCUAUCACUGGGCUUUGGCUACUCCCUAGGAGCCCUGCCCACUCCCUUUGUCUCCCAUGUGGGACCUGGUGCCACAUCACAGAUGGGCUGAAGCCUUGGCGCUCUGUAAGCAACAACAGUGGGUGCCCAGCCUUGCCCACGAGCUGGAGGCAUAGGCCUCAGAGUCCUCCUCCCCAAAGCCCUGCUCCCCAGAUCCCUCCUCUCCAGAUCCCUCCUCUCCAGAGCCCUCCUCCCUAUAGCUCUGCCCAGUGCCCUAUUUGCUGCUGCCCGCCCAGCCCUCUGGACUUGGGCUCUAGGGGAGGACUCAGGGGUCCCAGGUGACCCCCACUGGCUGCCUGCAGCAGCCUUUGUGCAUGGGAGAGCCUCUCUUCACUGGCUAAGGGUGGGCAGCUGUUUGCUGGGGGCUGGGCUAGGCCCUCCGUGGACGACUCUCUCCUGGCUCCACUCAGGACUCAAUAUGGGUUUCCUUUCCUGCUAAGAGUUUCCUCGGGUGCAGGCCCAGCUGCCUCAGGUUCAGUUUCUCCCUUGGAAGGAUCUCUGUGGCAACACCCACUGCAGUGCAGAGAAGGAAGCUUAAAAGCCUGAAAAUGCUCCAUCUCCCUGAUGGUGUGGAAGGCGCGUGUCAGCGAGACACCCUCAGCCCCAAGGGUGGCACACUGCUCCAUGGGCCAGGCUGUGGAAGCAAUGCCUGUCAAAUUCACACAUGGAUAUUCUCUCU